AACGGUCUAUACCUGCGGUACCUGCGGAAGGAUCAUUAUUGAAUAAACUUGGUCAAGCUGUUGCUGGUCCUUCGGGGCAUGUGCACGUUUGCCACCAAUUUUAACCACCUGUGCACCUUUUGUAGAUUGGAAACGUUUCUCGAGGCAACUCGGAUUUGAGGACUGCUGUGCGCAAGCCGGCUGUUCUUGUGUUUCUCAAUCUAUGUUUUCAUAUACUCCUAAUGUAUGUAUCAGAAUGUA
rnacentral:misc_RNA from 1 species